CCAAGGGCUCUUUUCAGAGCCAGUCACUUUUGCAUUCAUAUUGAAU
rfam:Pteropus alecto contig104251, whole genome shotgun sequence.